AGACACAAAAGAUCCCUUCCCUUUUACUAUUUGGCCACUGGUUUUGCAGAGUACGAGAUUACACUACAAUUUAAAAGCAUUAAUUAAUUACAUAUUAUCAAUCACUUAUUUAUAUAAAAUUAGUGUAGGUUCUCGUAUAAUUCACCACCCCGAUGAAAAUGUUGACACUGAUCAUCUUACCAUGUUUUGUCACUCUCAGCAGAAGCCUUUUGGUGCCUUUACCUGUCAUUGUUUCCACAGAGUUGCUCAGAGAACCAAAGCCUGAUGAGCUUGAAACACACUCGGGUAGGAUGUGGAAUUGCAAAAGCUUUAUCUUCUGAGAAGGCAUUGUCAUCUGCUGCAAGGAUUGUUAGGCCAUUACUACUCUUUGCUGCUAUGAGCUCUUUGUUGAUGCUCUUCAUGAUCUCUGUUAUUUUCAGCAGCAUGGUUAGGACUAUGAAUGUUUUUUCCUUUUCAAGGAUUCUGGUUAUGUCAUAUAGGGUUGAGUCACAGCAAUCUGGAGCCUGAGGCGAUGGUGCUGAUGCAGGUGCCUGUGCCAUUGUGACUGAAGAAUUCAAGGAAGAAAUCAAGAGGACUAGAAGUAGGGACAAGGAAAAUAGAGCUUGCUUCAUCUUCUACUUAAUUAUUGACUUACCGCCAUUGCCGUUGAUUUGCCUCUGCUCUCAACAAUCGUUCCAUCGGUCUCAGCAACACCGUCUUUCUUCUGCCAGUUCCCAACCUUCUUGCUGCUGCCGACAAAGUUGGCAAUGGCUUCUGAGUUUGCAAGCAUGUUGUGUGGUGUUUCCUCCUCGGAAUGACGGUGGCAGAUGCUAUCACAUACUCAAGUCCUUUGUUCCCAUGUCCAUGAACUUCAAUAACCUUUAUUCUCUCUCUCUUCUUCUACAAGAAAGAAGAGCCUUCAAUUCAUAUUCCCAGGUCAAAUAUACCACCAGCAUUCACAAUUUCUUCUUCUUGUUUUUCUAAUUGUUUUGAAUAUGGUAGAAAUAUUUUUGAAUAUAAUGAAUGGGUUGUUAGAUAGGAGACCGUGUUUGAAUUUGUAGCUACACUGAUACUGAUGCGUGCCACAUGUUUGAUCAAAGUUCUUAGUGAGUA